rnacentral:rRNA from 1 species
AGAGUUUGAUCCUGGCUCAGAACGAACGCUGGCGGCGUGGAUAAGACAUGCAAGUCGAACGCUAAUCACAUUGCAGCAAUGUAGUGUGGUUGGAGUGGCGCAAGGGUGCGUAACACGUGGGUAAUUUGCCGUGAAGACUGGGAUAACUUGCUGAAAGGCGAGCUAAUACCGGAUGUGGAAAUUGGGAGGCAUCUCUUGAUUUCUGAAGUUGGGGACCGCAAGGCCUGACACUUCACGAUAAGCCCGCGGCCUAUCAGCUAGUUGGUGAGGUAACGGCUCACCAAGGCAAAGACGGGUAGCUGGUCUGAGAGGACGACCAGCCACACUGGAACUGAGAGACGGUCCAGACACCUACGGGUGGCAGCAGUCGAGAAUUUUUCUCAAUGGGGGAAACCCUGAAGGAGCGACGCCGCGUGGGGGAUGAAUGGCUUCGGCCCGUAAACCCCUGUCAUUUGCGAACAAUGUGUACUAUUUAAAAGAUGGUGCAUUGAUAGUAGCGAAAGAGGAAGGGACGGCUAACUCUGUGCCAGCAGCCGCGGUAAUACAGAGGUCCCGAGCGUUGUUCGGAUUCACUGGGCGUAAAGGGUGCGUAGGUGGUGAGGUAAGUCGGAUGUGAAAUCUCCAAGCUCAACUUGGAAAUGGCAUUGGAAACUACCUUGCUGGAGGUUUGGAGGGGGGACUGGAAUUCUCGGUGUAGCAGUGAAAUGCGUAGAUAUCGAGAGGAACACCAGUGGCGAAGGCGAGUCCCUGGACAAAACCUGACACUGAGGCACGAAAGCUAGGGGAGCAAACAGGAUUAGAUACCCNNGUAGUCC